rnacentral:rRNA from 1 species
UACGUAGGGUGCGAGCGUUGUCCGGAAUUAUUGGGCGUAAAGGGCUCGUAGGCGGUUUGUCGCGUCGGGAGUGAAAUCAUCUGGCUUAACUGGGUGCUUGCUUUCGAUACGGGCAGACUAGAGGUAUGCAGGGGAGAACGGAAUUCCUGGUGUAGCGGUGAAAUGCGUAGAUAUCGGGAGGAACACCUGAGGCGAAGGCGGGCUACUGGGCCGAUACUGACGCUGAUGCGCGAAAGCCAGGGGAGCAAACGGG